rnacentral:lncRNA from 1 species
UAUGAACCUCUUCACUCUGAUACAGCAACAUGAUCCACGGAGAUCAGUGGCUGCUCCUGGUCAUCAUCCUGAUGGUAACACUUGGAACAUUACAGUAGAUAAUAUCCUUCAAACAACUUGGAGGCUGCUGAAAUGUGGAUUGCAAACACAACAGAUCUCAUGGAUGUUUGCCUAACAUGGAAGGUCCCUGGCAGACCAGCACACAGCCAGUGCAGUUCUUUGGUUU